rnacentral:rRNA from 1 species
GAUUCCCCCAGUAACUGCGAGUGAAGAGGGAAGAGCUCAUCAUUGGAAUCUGGCAGCGUCGCGUUGUCCGAGUUGUAGAUGAGACGAGUGGGCCAUCUGGACUGCGUGGCGUCCAAGUACAAUAGGCCGUCAGUGGGACAUCAUAGAGGGUGACAAUCCCGUCCUUGACGCUAACGUACGAGUCCGUUGUGAUGCCUAUCUCAGAGAGUCGAGCAGUUUGGGAUUGCUGCUUUAACAUGGGAGGUAGAUUCCUUCUAAAGCUAAAUACAGGCAAGAGACCGAUAGAGAACAAGUACCGCAAGGGAAAGAUGAAAUAGAACUCUGUGAAGGGAGUCAAAAGGCGUGAAAUUGUUGCGAGAGAAGCGAUUCAAGUCAGCGUAGCUAGGCCCAUUAAGCCUCGCUUUGGACUAGCUUUGCCAGCGGUCUUGUCUCCUCGGCUUGACUAACGUGCCCUGUGCGGUCUAACGCGCAGACUCUCCUUUCUUGGGGGGAGCCAGCGGCAUGGCUGGUGGAAUGGCUUGCAAUCGACCYGUCUUGAAACACGGACCAAGGAGUCUAACAUGUAUGCGAGUAUAAGGGUGGCAAACCUGUAUGCGCAAAGAAAGUGACAGCUUACAGCUGAGAAUGGCCUGAUGACCAGACAAGAAAUAUAUGUUCCUCGCACGGCCAUUGCCCGAGUCCCAUGGUCAGAUCCCAUGGACACGGAGUUGGAGCGUACAUGCUAGGACCCGAAAGAUGGUGAACUAUGCCUGGACAAAGUGAAGCCAAAGGAAACUCUGG